GUCGAGCGAAUGGAUUAAGAGCUUGCUCUUAUGAAGUUAGCGGCGGACGGGUGAGUAACACGUGGGUAACCUGCCCAUAAGACUGGGAUAACUCCGGGAAACCGGGGCUAAUACCGGAUAACAUUUUGAACCGCAUGGUUCGAAAUUGAAAGGCGGCUUCGGCUGUCACUUAUGGAUGGACCCGCGUCGCAUUAGCUAGUUGGUGAGGUAACGGCUCACCAAGGCAACGAUGCGUAGCCGACCUGAGAGGGUGAUCGGCCACACUGGGACUGAGACACGGCCCAGACUCCUACGGGAGGCAGCAGUAGGGAAUCUUCCGCAAUGGACGAAAGUCUGACGGAGCAACGCCGCGUGAGUGAUGAAGGCUUUCGGGUCGUAAAACUCUGUUGUUAGGGAAGAACAAGUGCUAGUUGAAUAAGCUGGCACCUUGACGGUACCUAACCAGAAAGCCACGGCUAACUACGUGCCAGCAGCCGCGGUAAUACGUAGGUGGCAAGCGUUAUCCGGAAUUAUUGGGCGUAAAGCGCGCGCAGGUGGUUUCUUAAGUCUGAUGUGAAAGCCCACGGCUCAACCGUGGAGGGUCAUUGGAAACUGGGAGACUUGAGUGCAGAAGAGGAAAGUGGAAUUCCAUGUGUAGCGGUGAAA
rnacentral:rRNA from 1 species